rnacentral:rRNA from 1 species
UACGAAGGGGGCUAGCGUUGCUCGGAAUUACUGGGCGUAAAGCGUGCGCAGGCGGUGCUGUAAGACCGAUGUGAAAUCCCCGGGCUUAACCUGGGAACUGCAUUGGUGACUGCAGCGCUGGAGUAUGGCAGAGGGGGGUGGAAUUCCACGUGUAGCAGUGAAAUGCGUAGAGAUGUGGAGGAACACCGAUGGCGAAGGCAGCCCCCUGGGCCUGCACUGACGCUCAUGCACGAAAGCGUGGGGAGCAAACAGG